rnacentral:rRNA from 1 species
CCUACGGGAGGCUGCAGUGAGGAAUAUUGGUCAAUGGGCGCAAGCCUGAACCAGCCAAGUAGCGUGAAGGAUGACUGCCCUACGGGUUGUAAACUUCUUUUAUAAAGGAAUAAAGUGAGCCACGUGUGCCUUUUUGUAUGUACUUUAUGAAUAAGGAUCGGCUAACUCCGUGCCAGCAGCCGCGGUAAUACGGAGGAUCCGAGCGUUAUCCGGAUUUAUUGGGUUUAAAGGGAGCGUAGGUGGGUUGUUAAGUCAGUUGGGAAAGUUUGAGGCUCAACAGUAAAAUUGCAAUUGAUACUGGCAGUCUUGAGUACAGUUGAGGCAGGCGGAAUGCGUGGUGUAGCGGUGAAAUGCUUAGAUAUCACGCAGAACUCCGAUUGCGAAGGCAGCUUACUAAGCUGCCACUGACAUUGAUGCUCGAAAGUGUGGGGAUCAAACAGGAUUAGAUACCCCUGUAGUC